rnacentral:sRNA from 1 species
GCAUUUCCGCCUCUGGCGAAUGGCUCGUCUGUAGUGCACGCCGCGGGCCCAGCUGCGACCCCGGCCCCGCCCCCGGGACCCCGGCCAUGGACGAACUGUUCCCCCUCAUCUUCCCGGCAGAGCCAGCCCAGGCCUCUGGCCCCUAUGUGGAGAUCAUUGAGCAGCCCAAGCAGCGGGGCAUGCGCUUCCGCUACAAGUGCGAGGGGCGCUCCGCGGGCAGCAUCCCAGGCGAGAGGAGCACAGAUACCACCAAGACCCACCCCACCAUCAAGAUCAAUGGCUACACAGGACCAGGGACAGUGCGCAUCUCCCUGGUCACCAAGGACCCUCCUCACCGGCCUCACCCCCACGAGCUUGUAGGAAAGGACUGCCGGGAUGGCUUCUAUGAGGCUGAGCUCUGCCCGGACCGCUGCAUCCACAGUUUCCAGAACCUGGGAAUCCAGUGUGUGAAGAAGCGGGACCUGGAGCAGGCUAUCAGUCAGCGCAUCCAGACCAACAACAACCCCUUCCAAGGUGAGGGCAAACCUGCCUGCCACACCCGCACCCUCUGUCACCCUCCCCAGCCCGCCUUUCCUGCAUCUCCCU